rnacentral:rRNA from 1 species
ACUCCUACGGNAGGCAGCAGCAGGGAAUCUUGCGCAAUGGACGAAAGUCUNACGCAGCGACACCGCGUGGGGGAUGAAGGCCUUCGGGUUGUAAACCCCUUUCAGGAGGGAAGAAAUUGACGGGUACCUCCAAAAGAAGCACCGGCCAACUAC